GACACGACCGUACCGCAAACCGACACUGGUGCGCGAGAUGAGUAUUCUAAGGCGCUUGAGAGAACUCAGGAGAAGGAACUCGGCAAAUUGACACCGUAACUUCGGAAGAAGGUGUGCCUUUAGUAGGUGAACCAUUUACUUGGGGAGCCCAAUGAGGCUGCAAAAAAUCGGUGGCUGCAACUGUUUAUUAAAAACACAGCACUCUGCUAAGACGAAAGUCGACGUAUAGGGUGUGACGCCUGCCCGGUGCUGGAAGAUUAAAUGAUGGGGUGCAAGCUCUUGAUUGAAGUCCCAGUAAACGGCGGCCGUAACGAUAACGGUCCUAAGGUAGCGAAAUUCCUUGUCGGGUAAGUUCCGACCUGCACGUAUGGCGUAAUGAUGGCCACACUGUCUCCUCCUGAGACUCAGCGAAGUUGAAAUGUUUGUGAUGAUGCAAUCUCCCCGCGGAAAGACGGAAAGACCCCAUGAACCUUUACUGUAGCUUUGUAUUGGACUUUGAACAGAUCUGUGUAGGAUAGGUGGGAGGCUUUGAAGUGUGGUCGCUAGAUCGCAUGGAGCCAACGUUGAAAUACCACCCUGGUGUGUUUGAGGUUCUAACCUAGGUCCAUUAUCUGGAUCGGGGACAGUGCAUGGUAGGCAGUUUGACUGGGGCGGUCUCCUCCCAAAGUGUAACGGAGGAGUUCGAAGGUACGCUAGGUACGGUCGGACAUCGUGCUAAUAGUGCAAUGGCAUAAGCGUGCUUAACUGCGAGACUGACAAGUCGAGCAGAUGCGAAAGCAGGACAUAGUGAUCCGGUGGUUCUGUAUGGAAGGGCCAUCGCUCAACGGAUAAAAGGUACUCUGGGGAUAACAGGCUGAUACCGCCCAAGAGUUCAUAUCGACGGCGGUGUUUGGCACCUCGAUGUCGGCUCAUCUCAUCCUGGGGCUGUAGCCGGUCCCAAGGGUAUGGCUGUUCGCCAUUUAAAGAGGUACGUGAGCUGGGUUUAAAACGUCGUGAGACAGUUUGGUCCCUAUCUUCCGUGGGCGCUGCAGAUUUGAGGAAGCCUGCUCCUAGUACGAGAGGACCGGAGUGGACGAACCUCUGGUGUAUCGGUUGUCACGCCAGUGGCAUUGCCGAGUAGCUAAGUUCGGAAGAGAUAACCGCUGAAAGCAUCUAAGCGGGAAACUCGUUUCAAGAUUAGAUCUGCCGGGGCCUUGAGCCCCCUAAAGAGUCGUUCAAGACCAGGACGUUGAUAGGUCAGGUGUGGAAGCGAA
rnacentral:rRNA from 1 species